UACGGAGGAUGCGAGCGUUAUCCGGAUUUAUUGGGUUUAAAGGGUGCGUAGGCGGGCUGUUAAGUCAGCGGUAAAAGCCCGGGGCUCAACCUCGGCGAGCCGUUGAAACUGGCUGUCUUGAGAUGUCGAGAGGUAUGCGGAAUGCGCAGUGUAGCGGUGAAAUGCUUAGAUAUUGCGCAGAACUCCGAUUGCGAAGGCAGCAUACCGGCGGCGAUCUGACGCUGAGGCACGAAAGCGUGGGUAUCGAACAGG
rnacentral:rRNA from 1 species